GCAAAACAAUCAGAAAACAUUUAUUAUACUGAAAUGUGUACAUCCUACUAUUAAAAAAACAAAGUAACAAAUUUGCUGGUGCCAAAAUUUAUUUAGCCUGUUUCACUGGGACAAACUCACGUUCAAUGCCACUCAGUAUAAUUUCAAGUCUGAUAAGCAUCUAAGUAUUUUUACCCCGCUUCUAAAACCUGAUGAGGAAUUCAAAAUAAGCACACAGCAUUAAAUGACAUUUAUUGUUCCAUAAAUCUUGAGACCCAAAAAGGAAUGCUAAAUAGACAAGCAAAACUUUUAAAACAAACGAGAUAAACUCACUUCUUUCCCCAGUGACUGGUACAGAAAACAUGUGGUCACACGAAAGCAAAGGGAAAAAGUCAGAAAGGAAAACUCUCUGCCUAUAGGAUCUAUAGGAGUUACAGAUAUUUUCAAAUCGAUGAUGAAAAUAGAUCGUGCUUCUUUGUAGCAAAUAAUUAACCCCCUUUAUGAAUAAAACAUAAAAUGUCAAAGCUUUUACUCACUGAAGUAGUUUGUCUUCUGGGAGAGAUUUCAAACUCAAAAUUACUCAUUUCCUAUUUUUUGCCUGAACACAAUGAGGAUCAAAUAGUACAUUCAAAUCAGGACACCUGGGUAUAUGGACAAAGAUAUCCUACAAUUAAAAUGGAAUAGAAGUUAAAAAAAAAAUUCAGUCCCCUACACCACAGGCCUCAAACAUGCUUGCUGAUGGAUUCUGGGAAGGUUUUGGAUGAAGGACGGAGAUAUGGGAGGAAAGUGAGAAAACAGUGGAUUCCCUUUGAAAAGUAUGCUAGCAGACAAGCAUUUGGUUUUAUGAAAGAGGCACUCUUAUAGAGAAAGAAGCUAGUAUGUGGUGUAUAAAAAGCCCCUAAAUCAUCACCAGAAUGUCUAUCCAUGAUUGUACUAAAGCUCAAUAUUUGAGAGGCUUAAGGGAUUUGUAUGGUACAUUUUAGUGUUUGAUUGAUAACAUCUAGUGUUUCCAGAAAAAAAUUCAUCUUGUUCAUAAUGAAGAUCCCUUAACACCUAGUCAGAAGCUAUCAACAAUAAUACUUUCUCCCCCUACUUGGGUCACCUAUUUCCAAUGUCUGGGGUAGGGCUUUAAAAAUGUUUAAUAGGAUGGUGGGGGUGGGGGGUUAGGGUGGGGGUGGUCAGCAUAAGGUUCAGGCAAUAAAAGCC
rnacentral:lncRNA from 1 species